rnacentral:rRNA from 1 species
AGUGAACGCUGGCGGUAGGCCUAACACAUGCAAGUCGAACGGCAGCACAGUAAGAGCUUGCUCUUACGGGUGGCGAGUGGCGGACGGGUGAGGAAUACAUCGGAAUCUACUUUUUCGUGGGGGAUAACGUAGGGAAACUUACGCUAAUACCGCAUACGACCUACGGGUGAAAGCAGGGGAUCUUCGGACCUUGCGCGAUUGAAUGAGCCGAUGUCGGAUUAGCUAGUUGGCGGGGUAAAGGCCCACCAAGGCGACGAUCCGUAGCUGGUCUGAGAGGAUGAUCUGCCACACUGGAACUGAGACACGGUCCAGACUCCUACGGGAGGCAGCAGUGGGGAAUAUUGGACAAUGGGCGCAAGCCUGAUCCAGCCAUACCGCGUGGGUGAAGAAGGCCUUCGGGUUGUAAAGCCCUUUUGUUGGGAAAGAAAAGCAGCAGGUUAAUACCCCGCUGUUCUGACGGUACCCAAAGAGUAAGCACCGGCUAACUUCGUG